rnacentral:tRNA from 1 species
GCCCCUGUAGUGUAGCUCGGCCUAGCAUUCAAGACUGUCACUCUUGAGACCCGGGUUCAAGUCCCGGCGGGGGCGCCA